rnacentral:rRNA from 1 species
CGGUCCAGACUCCUACGGGAGGCAGCAGUGGGGAAUAUUGCACAAUGGGCGCAAGCCUGAUGCAGCCAUGCCGCGUGUGUGAAGAAGGCCUUCGGGUUGUAAAGCACUUUCAGCGGGGAGGAAGGCGGUGAGGUUAAUAACCUUGUCGAUUGACGUUACCCGCAGAAGAAGCACCGGCUAACUCCGUGCCAGCAGCCGCGGUAAUACGGAGGGUGCAAGCGUUAAUCGGAAUUACUGGGCGUAAAGCGCACGCAGGCGGUCUGUCAAGUCGGAUGUGAAAUCCCCGGGCUCAACCUGGGAACUGCAUUCGAAACUGGCAGGCUAGAGUCUUGUAGAGGGGGGUAGAAUUCCAGGUGUAGCGGUGAAAUGCGUAGAGAUCUGGAGGAAUACCGGUGGCGAAGGCGGCCCCCUGGACAAA